AGUGAACGCUGGCGGUAGGCCUAACACAUGCAAGUCGAACGGCAGCACAGUAAGAGCUUGCUCUUACGGGUGGCGAGUGGCGGACGGGUGAGGAAUACAUCGGAAUCUACUUUUUCGUGGGGGAUAACGUAGGGAUACUUACGCUAAUACCGCAUACGACCUACGGGUGAAAGCAGGGGAUCUUCGGACCUUGCGCGAUUUCAUGAGCCGAUGUCGGAUUAGCUAGUUGGCGGGGUAAAGGCCCACCAAGGCGACGAUCCGUAGCUGGUCUGAGAGGAUGAUCAGCCACACUGGAACUGAGACACGGUCCAGACUCCUACGGGAGGCAGCAGUGGGGAAUAUUGGACAAUGGGCGCAAGCCUGAUCCAGCCAUACCGCGUGGGUGAAGAAGGCCUUCGGGUUGUAAAGCCCUUUUGUUGGGAAAGAAAAGCAGCAGGUUAAUACCCCGCUGUUCUGACGGUACCCAAAGAAUAAGCACCGGCUAACUUCGUG
rnacentral:rRNA from 1 species